rnacentral:lncRNA from 1 species
AAUUGUGUAUUUCAUCUCUAAAAAAUUUGUUUGGUUCUUUUUGUGUAUCCUAUUUCUCUUUUUAAUCUGCUAAUAUUUUCUUUUAAAUAGUUUGAGGAAAGAAUCUUUACCAGUAAGUCACUUCACCUACACCAUGAAAAAUAUGAAGGUGUUGAAAGUGAUUGCAAUAGUCCCUUCAUUUCUUCCUUCUUUUUAAAAAAAAAAAAUUUUACCGUUUUAGUAAAGUCUCACAAGGAACAUUAUCUAAUCUUGUUCAUGACGAAGACUUAAUAGCUAUGUAUCUGGGAAC